CAGCCCUUGACAUGGGACUCGCCGGGAGCAGAGACGCUCCCUUCGGUUCGGCCGGAGUCCGCACAGGUGCUGCAUGGCUGUCGUCAGCUCGUGUCGUGAGAUGUUGGGUUAAGUCCCGCAACGAGCGCAACCCUCGUCUCCAGUUGCCAUCAGGUUAUGCUGGGCACUUUGGAGAAACUGCGGGUGACAAGCCGGAGGAAGGUGGGGAUGACGUCAAGUCCUCAUGGCCCUUACGGGCUGGGCUACACACGUGCUACAAUGGCGGUGACAAUGGGAUGCGAUGGGGCGACCCGGAGCCGAUCCUAAAAAACCGUCUCAGUUCGGAUUGCACUCUGCAACUCGAGUGCAUGAAGUUGGAAUCGCUAGUAAUCGAGGAUCAGCAUGCCUCGGUGAAUA
rnacentral:rRNA from 1 species